AUGGAGAUCACGGGCAGCACGAUAUUGAAGCCGGUGCCGCACCCGCUCGUUGGAAACAAGGUCCCGCUGACCAUACUCGACCACGCUGCCUCAGACCUGUUCGUCCCCACCGUCCUCGCCUACCUCGCGCCAGCACCGUCCAACGAGGCUCUCAAGGAAGGCCUUCUCAAGGCCGUCGCGCCGUAUCCCCACCUGGCGGGGCGCCUUGCUGUCGAUGAGCUCGGCCGGCGCUUCCUCCACGUCAAUAAUGAAGGCGUGCUCCUAAUUGAGACGACGGUACCGGCUAACCUGGCGGAGCAUGCUCGUACCUGGCAAUGGCGAUGCUUUUAUAUCGUUAUCUUGUUGAAGACAUUGCUCGGAUAUGCUCGGACUGGUUCUUUACGGUGA
rnacentral:rRNA from 1 species